rnacentral:rRNA from 1 species
GGGUCAGUAGGUUGGCCGUGCCACCAGUGCGUACUGGUCUCACUGAUUCCUCCUUCCUGAAGAACCGUAAUGCCAUUAAUUUGGUGUUGCGGGGAAACAGGACUGUUACUUUGAAAAAAUUAGAGUGUUUAAAGCAAGCUAACGCUUGAAUACAUUAGCAUGGAAUAAUGAAAUAGGACGAUCGAUCCCAUUUUGUUGGUUUCUAGGAUUGACGUA